rnacentral:rRNA from 1 species
UACGUAGGGGGCGAGCGUUGUCCGGAUUCACUGGGCGUAAAGGGUUCGUAGGCGGCAUGUCAAGUCUCACGUCAAAGCCCCGGGCUCAACCCGGGAGAGGCAUGGGAUACUGGCAAGCUUGAGGACGGAAGAGGCGAGCGGAACGUUGCAAGUAGCGGUGAAAUGCAUUGAUAUGCAACGGAACACCAAUGGCGAAGGCAGCUCGCUGGUCCGUAUCUGACGCUGAGGGACGAAAGCCAGGGUAGCGAACGGG